GACGAACGCUGGCGGCGUGCCUAAUACAUGCCAGUUGAGCGCUGAAGGUUGGUACUUGUACCAACUGGAUGAGCAGCGAACGGGUGAGUAACGCGUGGGGAAUCUGCCUUUGAGCGGGGGACAACAUUUGGAAACGAAUGCUAAUACCGCAUAAAAACUUUAAACACAAGUUUUAAGUUUGAAAGAUGCAAUUGCAUCACUCAAAGAUGAUCCCGCGUUGUAUUAGCUAGUUGGUGAGGUAAAGGCUCACCAAGGCGAUGAUACAUAGCCGACCUGAGAGGGUGAUCGGCCACCUUGGGAGGGUGACACGGCCCAAACGCCUACGGGAGGCAGCAGUAGGGAAUCGUCGGCAAUGGACGAAAGUCUGACCGAGCAACGCCGCGUGAGUGAAGAAGGUUUUCGGAUCGUAAAACUCUGUUGGUAGGGAAGAACGUUGGUGAGAGUGGAAAGCUCAUCAAGUGACGGUAACUACCCAGAAAGGAACGGCUAACUACGUG
rnacentral:rRNA from 1 species